rnacentral:lncRNA from 1 species
UUUUAUACGCAUCUACAAAGGUAUAUAAAGGAGAUUUUGUCUCUACAAUUUUAUAUAAUAAUCAAGCAACAAAAUGGCAAAAAUCACCUUCGUUCUUUUGGCUGUAGUAGCAGUUGUGGUCUUGGCAACAGCUGAGGCCAGCCCCAAGGCAGCUCAUGGAGUAAGUGUCUUUAAAGCAGUGGCUCUUGGAAAAGUUGGAGCAUCAUGUGAUUGCGAUACCUGCUCACAAGAAUGUGAAAGCAUUGGCUCAGAUUAUGUUGGAGGCAUUUGUUACCAAGACGACUGUUAUUGUGCAUACAUUAAUUAAAUAUGUUGAAAUUGCACCAGCAUUUUAAUAAUAUAUAGUUUUUUAACAUGUA